rnacentral:misc_RNA from 1 species
GAUGAAGAACGUAGCGAAAUGCGAUAAGUAAUGUGAAUUGCAGAAUUCAGUGAAUCAUCGAAUCUUUGAACGCACAUUGCGCCCGCGAGUAUUCUCGCGGGCAUGCCUGUCCGAGCGUCAUUUCAACCCUCAGGGCCCGCCUGCUUCGGCAGGCGCGGCGCUGGUGUUGGGGAUCGGCCUAACCGCCGUCCCCCAAAUACAGUGGCGGUCUCGCUGCAGCCUCCCCUGCGUAGUAGCAACACUCGCAUGCGGAGCGCGGCGCGGCCACGCCGUAAAACCCCCGACUUUCUGAACGUUGACCUCGGAUCAGGUAGGAAUACCCGCUUAACUUAAGCAUAUCAAUAAGCGGAGGA